ACCGUGACAUUAUAUAGGGCCAUGGACCCCGCAGAUUUAGCUCAGCAAAUGGCUUCUCAUGAGGCUAGAUUUGUAGAGCAGGAUCACCGUAUGGAUCAGAUAGCUCAGGCCCUCCAGACACUCUUAUCUAGAACUACUCCGGUAACCGUACAGGCUCCUCCUGCACCCUUUGUCCCAGAUGUAUCUACCAUGCCUAAUGCUUCUGCACAUUUAAACCCUCCUCCUAGGUAUGGAGGGGAUGCUAAGACAUGCAGGGGAUUCAUUAAUCAAGUGGAAUUCCACUUUGAGAUGUAUCCACAUUCCUUUCCCACUGAUAGGUCUAAAGUUGGGUUCCUUAUGCACCAACUUACUGAUAAAGCACUUGAGUGGGCAAAUCCUAUUUGGGAGGCUAAUGGACCUAUGGUGCAUGAUUUCGAUAGCUUCCUUACGGCUUUUCGUAGAACCUUUGAUACAACUAAAAGGUCGAAGAAUGCCGC